rnacentral:lncRNA from 1 species
GAUCUACUUUCCAUUCCCCACAAAGCCCCUGGUUUCUGGCAUGGGGUUCAAAUCUGCUCAUUCUGCUUGGUUUAAGUCACACUUUGGGGUCCUAAGGCGCAGUGCACAGCAAUUCUGAGUCAGAAGUCACCUUUGCUUUCUCCUGGCCUCUCAAAGUACGCUCACGCUGCGUUUGAAUUCAUGCGGUAAUUAAAACUCUAUCUUCUGUUUCCUUGCAAAGAGUCGGAGUGGAGGGUUUAACAGUACCUGGUGUUCUCAACAAAGGCCAUUGAACCCUGCUUUAAAAACUUUCCAGAGACAAGAGGAUUACACCCAGUAGAGUGUGUGCUGAUUUGGGGGAAGAUUUUAGUGAACCGAGGGCAGUGGCACUAAAAUAGAGCAAAGAGACUGUGUGCCCUGGCCUGAUUUAGGUGUGGAUGAUGCCAUGGACUGCAGUGGGAAAGCCAGUCAGGAAGGACUCGGCAUGGGAAGGCAGGAGGAGUGCUGCUCACUGAACAAGUCUUUUGCAGACCAAGAAGAGCCAUUAUACCAUAGUUUAUUCCAGAUCCAGAAAAGAACACAACCAAGGUUAACCAUCACACUUGGUAAAUGCGUCCUGGGCAAAUCAGAGGGGUUCUGAGCAGAGGAAAUCCACAGCCUCCAGCUAACUCCUUGGGAUUCAUCUCCCCGUCCUUAGGUUUCUGCAUCCUCGAGCUCUGCAAGAACAAUGUUUUCAAAGAAGACUGUGACUCGGUACAUGUUUGCGUAAGGUUCUGGGCUGGAUUCCCAACUCAGAAAAAUCAGUCUAAAACCAGAAAGACAGGAAAGAAGGCUCAAAUCACAGGUCUUCUUAGCCCAGAGGAUAUACAGUUUGCUAAAGCGUCAUUCUAUGAAAGGAAGCAAUAUAAUUCAAGAUAAGGACUUCCUCUCCUCUGUGACCAGAAGACGCAAUCUAGAACCUGGAGAGUUUGCUGUCUUGGCAUUAAUCCUGACUGUGAACGUGAGCUAAGGCUCAGUCUACAACCUACCCAUGUGAGAAAUGACAUUAAUUUUUAUUAUUGAAACUUGUUUUGUGUGAAUUCUGAUACCCUACCCUCAUUGAGUAACAAAACACACAAAAUACUAUUUUCAAGGCUUAUCUCCCCUCUUUCUCAAGUGCCAAAGGUAUAAAUAAUUAGUUAUCCCCCCUCUAUUCUACCUCUUCUACCCAACUCUUUCAUCAACAAUGAAAUCUCAGUAGACACCAGCAUCUUAUCCAUAAUCGGCUUGUGUAUGAUCAUGAACAAGAUGUUUGACUUCUUGAAGAUAUAGUUCUAGUAUCAUUAAAGUAAAGACAAUAUUAGGCACCUUGCUCAUAUACUUGGGGUGGUUAAAUAAAAUCAAAUGUAUGCAAUCUACUUAACACAGCACAGUCAUUGCCCCAAUAAAUACUAGCAUUUUA